rnacentral:rRNA from 1 species
GACGAACGCUGGCGGCGUGCCUAAUACAUGCAAGUCGAACGGUCUUUUCUAUGGAAGCUUGCUUCCGCUGAGAAGAUAGUGGCGAACGGGUGAGUAACACGUGGGUAACCUGCCCAUAAGAGGGGGAUAACAUCCGGAAACGGGUGCUAAUACCGCAUAGUUUUCUUGAUCGCAUGAUCGAGAAAGGAAAGACGGCCUUUGUGAUGUCACUUAUGGAUGGACCGGCGGAGUAUUAGUUAGUUGGUGAGGUAACGGCUCACCAAGACGAUGAUACGUAGCCGACCUGAGAGGGUGAUCGGCCACAUUGGGACUGAGACACGGCCCAAACUCCUACGGGAGGCAGCAGUAGGGAAUCUUCCGCAAUGGACGAAAGUCUGACGGAGCAACGCCGCGUGAGUGAAGAAGGUUUUCGGAUCGUAAAACUCUGUUGUCAGAGAAGAACAAGUCGGAGAGUAACUGCUCCGGCCUUGACGGUAUCUGACCAGAAAGCCACGGCUAACUACGUGCCAGCCGCCGCCGUAACAC